GCGCAGCUACACAUGCAGUCGAGCGGUAGCACAGAGAGCUUGCUCUCGGGUGACGAGCGGCGGACGGGUGAGUAAUGUCUGGGAAACUGCCUGAUGGAGGGGGAUAACUACUGGAAACGGUAGCUAAUACCGCAUAAUGUCGCAAGACCAAAGUGGGGGACCUUCGGGCCUCAUGCCAUCAGAUGUGCCCAGAUGGGAUUAGCUAGUAGGUGGGGUAACGGCUCACCUAGGCGACGAUCCCUAGCUGGUCUGAGAGGAUGACCAGCCACACUGGAACUGAGACACGGUCCAGACUCCUACGGGAGGCAGCAGUGGGGAAUAUUGCACAAUGGGCGCAAGCCUGAUGCAGCCAUGCCGCGUGUAUGAAGAAGGCCUUCGGGUUGUAAAGUACUUUCAGCGGGGAGGAAGGCGAUAAGGUUAAUAACCUUGUCGAUUGACGUUACCCGCAGAAGAAGCACCGGCUAACUCCGUGCCAGCAGCCGCGGUAAUACGGAGGGUGCAAGCGUUAAUCGGAAUUACUGGGCGUAAAGCGCACGCAGGCGGUCUGUCAAGUCGGAUGUGAAAUCCCCGGGCUCAACCUGGGAACUGCAUUCGAAACUGGCAGGCUAGAGUCUUGUAGAGGGGGGUAGAAUUCCAGGUGUAGCGGUGAAAUGCGUAGAGAUCUGGAGGAAUACCGGUGGCGAAGGCGGCCCCCUGGACAAAGACUGACGCUCAGGUGCGAAAGCGUGGGGAGCAAACAGGAUUAGAUACCCUGGUAGUCCACGCCGUAAACGAUGUCGAUUUGGAGGUUGUGCCCUUGAGGCGUGGCUUCCGGAGCUAACGCGUUAAAUCGACCGCCUGGGGAGUACGGCCGCAAGGUUAAAACUCAAAUGAAUUGACGGGGGCCCGCACAAGCGGUGGAGCAUGUGGUUUAAUUCGAUGCAACGCGAAGAACCUUACCUGGUCUUGACAUCCACAGAACUUAGCAGAGAUGCUUUGGUGCCUUCGGGAACUGUGAGACAGGUGCUGCAUGGCUGUCGUCAGCUCGUGUUGUGAAAUGUUGGGUUAAGUCCCGCAACGAGCGCAACCCUUAUCCUUUGUUGCCAGCGGUCGGCCGGGAACUCAAAGGAGACUGCCAGUGAUAAACUGGAGGAAGGUGGGGAUGACGUCAAGUCAUCAUGGCCCUUACGACCAGGGCUACACACGUGCUACAAUGGCAUAUACAAAGAGAAGCGACCUCGCGAGAGCAAGCGGACCUCAUAAAGUAUGUCGUAGUCCGGAUUGGAGUCUGCAACUCGACUCCAUGAAGUCGGAAUCGCUAGUAAUCGUAGAUCAGAAUGCUACGGUGAAUACGUUCCCGGGCCUUGUACACACCGCCCGUCACACCAUGGGAGUGGGUUGCAAAAGAAGUAGGUAGCUUAACCUUCGGGAGGGCGCUACC
rnacentral:rRNA from 1 species